rnacentral:rRNA from 1 species
UAGGGAAUCUUCGGCAAUGGACGAAAGUCUGACCGAGCAACGCCGCGUGAGUGAAGAAGGUUUUCGGAUCGUAAAACUCUGUUGUUAGAGAAGAACAAGGACGUUAGUAACUGAACGUCCCCUGACGGUAUCUAACCAGAAAGCCACGGCUCACUACGUGCCAGCAGCCGCGGUAAUACGUAGGUGGCAAGCGUUGUCCGGAUUUAUUGGGCGUAAAGCGAGCGCAGGCGGUUUCUUAAGUCUGAUGUGAAAGCCCCCGGCUCAACCGGGGAGGGUCAUUGGAAUCUGGGAGACUUGAGUGCAGAAGAGGAGAGUGGAAUUCGAUGUGUAGGGGUAAAAUGCGGAGAUAUAUGGAGGAACACCAGUGGCGAAGGCGGCUCGCUAGUCUGUAACUGACGCUGAGGCUCGAAAGGGUGGGGAGCAAACAGG